rnacentral:rRNA from 1 species
GUGAGGAAUAUUGGUCAAUGGGCGGGAGCCUGAACCAGCCAAGUCGCGUGAAGGAAGAAGGAUCUAUGGUUCGUAAACUUCUUUUGCAGGGGAAUAAAGUGCAGGACGUGUCCUGUUUUGUAUGUACCCUGAGAAUAAGGAUCGGCUAACUCCGUGCCAGCAGCCGCGGUAAUACGGAGGAUCCGAGCGUUAUCCGGAUUUAUUGGGUUUAAAGGGUGCGUAGGUGGUUUGAUAAGUCAGCGGUGAAAGUUUGCAGCUUAACUGUAAAAAUGCCGUUGAAACUGUCGGACUUGAGUGUAAAUGAGGUAGGCGGAAUGCGUGGUGUAGCGGUGAAAUGCAUAGAUAUCACGCAGAACUCCGAUUGCGAAGGCAGCUUACUAAGCUACAACUGACACUGAAGCACGAAAGCGUGGGGAUCAAACAGGAUUAGAUACCCGGUAGUCC